rnacentral:piRNA from 1 species
UGAAAAUUAGUUCGUGGUCCUUUGGGGAAA